AUUGAACGCUGGCGGCAGGCCUAACACAUGCAAGUCGAGCGGUAGCACAGAGAGCUUGCUCUCGGGUGACGAGCGGCGGACGGGUGAGUAAUGUCUGGGAAACUGCCUGAUGGAGGGGGAUAACUACUGGAAACGGUAGCUAAUACCGCAUAACGUCGCAAGACCAAAGAAGGGGACCCUCGGGCCUCUUGCCAUCAGAUGUGCCCAGAUGGGAUUAGCUAGAAGGUGGGGUAGCGGCACACCUAGGCGACGAUCCCUAGCUGGUCUGAGAGGAUGACCAGCCACACUGGAACUGAGACACGGUCCAGACUCCUACGGGAGGCAGCAGUGGGGAAUAUUGCACAAUGGGCGCAAGCCUGAUGCAGCCAUGCCGCGUGUAUGAAGAAGGCCUUCGGGUUGUAAAGUACUUUCAGCGGGGAGGAAGGUGUUGAGGUUAAUAACCUCAGCAAUUGACGUUACCCGCAGAAGAAGCACCGGCUAACUCCGUGCCAGCAGCCGCCGUAAGAC
rnacentral:rRNA from 1 species